rnacentral:rRNA from 1 species
CAGUAGCCGCGGUAAUACGAAGGGGGCUAGCGUUGUUCGGAUUUACUGGGCGUAAAGCACACGUAGGCGGAUCGAUCAGUCAGGGGUGAAAUCCCAGAGCUCAACUCUGGAACUGCCUUUGAUACUGUCGAUCUGGAGUAUGGAAGAGGUGAGUGGAAUUCCGAGUGUAGAGGUGAAAUUCGUAGAUAUUCGGAGGAACACCAGUGGCGAAGGCGGCUCACUGGUCCAUUACUGACGCUGAGGUGCGAAAGCAUGGGGAGCAAACAGGAUUAGAUACCCGUGUAGUCCCUGUCUCUUAUAC